UUUAAACAUUUAAACAUUUCAACAUUUAAACAUUUAAACAUUUAAACAUUUAAACAUUUAAACAUUUAAACAUUUAAACAUUUAAACAUUUAAACAUUUAAACAUUUAAACAUUUAAACAUUUAAACAUUUAAACAUUUAAACAUUUAAACAUUUAAACAUUUAAACAUUUAAACAUUUAAACAUUUAAACAUUUAAACAUUUAAACAUUCCAAUAUCAAUUAACAAACCCAACUUUACACUGAACCUGUUCAGCCGACGCUCAUGCAACGAACGCACCGUUACACCAAGUUACACUGGACCCGUGCGACGCUCCUGAAACGAACGCACCAUGGUUCGAGCGAGCUGUCACUUUUUUUACUCGCGCGUGUCUGAUCCUGUUCGUGGUGACGGUGUUUGUUGAAGUUUUAGGGGAAACCCGGAUUUUUCGCGUUGAGGCGGUCGUUUAAGCCAAUUGGCCACAUCCGGCGAUUGGCAAUCAAGUUGCCGAACGCGAUCCUAGUGUUGGUUGGACGGAUGUUCGAAGUUCGAAUUGGAGCGGCUCCGGGAUGGCGGAACUUUGGGUGAGUAUUUUGAGUUUCGUGAGGGUGGAGGGGAAUUCCAAACAAAACAGCAGCGGCACUAUCUAUUGCCUGCUUGGGCAGAUUGCUUAAUCACAGUGUUUGUUUUUUUUUUUACUUUACAAGGACUUCUUCCACACGUUUCCGGCAGAAAAAAUCUGCCGAGUCACCGAUCCGGAAAAGCAAAUUUGAAAUUGUCAACCAUUUUGGGUGAGUAUUUCAGCUGUGGUGGAAUUUUGCUUGGAAAACUUUCUUCUGAUUUGUUGUGGGAGGGGAGAGCCACGGUGCGAAAUCUCCGCAGCAGCAGCAGACAUCUUUCGUGGCCUACUGCAGCAACAUUUGAUCUAAACAAACUGUUUCUCUUUUCACAGGGACUUCUCCCACCGGGUUCGCUAACGGGACACAACCCAACGGAUGCGUUCGAUUGGGAGCGGACCCGGCGCCUGCUGCGGUCACUUUCGGCCGUGUUUGUUCCGGAUGGUGAGCUCGUCUCGCCUGGAGGCUAAAAUCGUUAGGGGCUAAUUUCACUAAGGAUUGUGCUUCUAGAUUACGCGAAUGUCUAUCCCAAUUACGAAGCAGUUGAUCCGGCACCGGCUACGGACAUUCCGAAUAAUUUCAAACAGUGCGGAUUGAAGCGGAAUAACAAAAGAAAACGACACGGAAAAAAGUGCUAAAUUAAGUGAAAUUAAAGAAAACGAUAAAAAUACAAUAAAACUUACCGUAUUGACCAUUAAUUUCAAUGUAUAAAUAUAUGUUUUACAGUACAAUUUAGUGGCGAGAAAAAAAUAAAUACAAUGAAAAUACAA